UACGGAGGAUGCAAGCGUUAUCCGGAUUUAUUGGGUUUAAAGGGUGCGCAGGUUGUUUGAUAAGUCAGUGGUGAAAGUCUGUCGCUUAACGGUAGGAUUGCCAUUGAUACUGUUGGACUUGAAUAUGGAUGAGGUAGGCGGAAUGUGUAGUGUAGCGGUGAAAUGCAUAGAUAUUACACAGAACACCGAUUGCGAAGGCAGCUUACUAAUCCAUCAUUGACGCUGAGGCACGAAAGUGUGGGGAUCAAACAGGA
rnacentral:rRNA from 1 species